rnacentral:rRNA from 1 species
AACGCGAAGAACCUUACCUACCCUUGACAUCCAGAGAAUUUCCCAGAGAUGGGAGAGUGCCGCAAGGAACUCUGAGACAGGUGCUGCAUGGCUGUCGUCAGCUCGUGUUGUGAGAUGUUGGGUUAAGUCCCGUAACGAGCGCAACCCUUAUCCUUAGUUGCCAGCAUUGAGUUGGGGACUCUAAGGAGACUGCCGGUGAUGAACCGGAGGAAGGCGGGGACGACGUCAAGUCAUCAUGGCCUUUAUGGGUAGGGCUACACACGUGCUACAAUGGGCGGUACAGAGGGCAGCGAAAGCGCGAGCUGGAGCCAAUCCCGAAAAGCCGUUCGUAGUCCGGAUCGGAGUCUGCAACUCGACUCCGUGAAGUCGGAAUCGCUAGUAAUCGCGAAUCAGAAUGUCGCGGUGAAUACGUUCCCGGGCCUUGUACACACCGCGUGUC